UAUAUAUUAGAGCCCGACCGAUAUAUCGGCCGGACGAUAUUAUCGGCCGAUAUGAGCUUAUUGCAUUUAAAUCGGCAUCGGCGUUUAUAACGGCCGAUGAAUGAUGAGAAACAGUCUCAUGCUUUACUCAUGUUAUGAGUGUUGCAUAGUUUACCCACCAGAGGGAACUCUGCAGCUCCAGAGUUGACAACAGCGCCAGAAAUCCACUAGCGAAGAAAGCGAUCAGCCAAGCCAGCCACGGAGAUUUUUUUUUCUGUUUUGACGAUGGCUGAAAAAGGGCAUGCUGUAGCAGCAAAGUGUGGGACUACUUCUGCAAAUACUUUAACUUUAGUAUUAUAAUUUAUUUACAGAACACACACAGACUGUUAAAACCAGCUUCAACUGGAAGAAAGUAAAAGUGUUAAAUGUUUAAAAUCAGGCUGUUUUUUUUAUCAUUAAAAAAUAUAUACUUUUGAUGU